AAGAUAAAAAAAAUGUUCAAAAUCUAACAAAAAUCAUAUUUAGAGAAUUGAUUUGGUGAUUCUAAUAAAAGAAUCGGAGACUAGAUUGAUUGGCCUUUUUAAUUUCUGUAGCACAAGAUAACCUGUAUAUAAAAAGGGAACUAAAAAAAUAAGAAAAAAAUUAAAGCAACCACAGAGCGAGUUUAACAUAUAGAAUAUUCAGUCACAAAAAAAUAUAUAAAAUAUUCUUUUUUAUUAGUAUCUAUAUAUCCUUCGAACCUCACUUAGCCAUUCCAAAAUAAAAAACUAACCCAUCUAAACCUUACAUAGUCAUUCCAAAACAAAGUACACAUGAGAACAACUCAAAUGGAUGGCAAAAGUAAUUAUAAUUCAUUCACUAUGAACAACCCUUUAGGUGUUGAAAAAUUCAAGAGGCAAGGCCACAUGAUAGUUAACUUUUUUGCCGAUUAUUUUGAUAAUGUUAGAAACUAUCCCGUUUUAAGUCAAGUUAAACCCAAAUAUCUUGAAAAACAGGGUCCAUCUCUUGCUCCUAUUGGCCCUGUCUAUUGAAACCAUCCUUCAUGACGUGAAACAACACAUAAUCCCAGAAUCACACUGGCAAAGUCCUAAUUUCUUUGCAUUCAUCCUAUCAAGUGCCUGUUGGUUUCAUGGGCUAGAUGCUCAGCACUGGACUCAUCGUCGUUGGAUUCAACGUUCUCUUUCCGGCGACAACCGAGCUCGAGAGCACCGUCACUCGACCAAAAGCCAAAUUCCUCUUCACGGGUGAUGGUGGUGUCGUCAUGUUAGGCACAAUAUGCGAGGCAGUAUUGGCAACACUUGUGGCUAGAGAGACAAAAUGCUAAAUCAGAUAGAAAGAGACAAGAUCGAAAAUCCAUUGUGCGGUUAAAAAAACCACUCAUGCUGGGCUUGAUCCAAACGCCUUCAAAGUUCAUUAACACCUUCAAAGUUCGUUAAGACUUCGAUAACCAACUCAAUUUUGGUAAGUGGUAACAACGAAAACGAACUCUAAAUUAUUAUAUCCAUAUUAUUAUUCAAGUAUUUAAAAUUUAAAAUAAAAAUAAAUCAAUUUAUAAUUUUUUGAAGAAAAAAAUAUUCAAGUUAUUNNNNNNNNNNNNNNNNNNNNNNNNNNNNNNNNNNNNNNNNNNNNNNNNNNNNNNNNNNNNNNNNNNNNNNNNNNNNNNNNNNNNNNNNNNNNNNNNNNNNNNNNNNNNCUCGUUGCUACCACAAUCGAAAUCUUAAACGGCUUUGAAGUUGUUUGGAUUAAACCGCAAUACGAGCGACUUUUUGAACCAUGCAAUAAUGGGUUUGAUUUGAGCCGCACAAAAUGAGCUUUCCGAUCUUGUCUCUUCUUAUCUGAUUUAACAUUCUGUCUCAGUCAUAAGUGUUGCCAAUAUUGCCUGGCAUGUUGUGCCUAACAUGAUUCCACCGCCAUGAUCCGUGCAAAGAAAUUAUUUUAGAAGCUUGAGCUCUUGACCGAGCCAUCAAUGAUGGUGCUCUCGAGCUCGGUUGCCGGGAAAGAGAGCGUUGAAUCUAACGAGGUUGAGUCCAAUGCUGAGCAUCUCGUCUAUGAAGAGAGCAGUUCUACCACUUGAUUGGUAGAAUGCAAAGAAAUAAAGACUCUGCUCGUGUGAUUUCAAAGAUUAUGUGUUGUUUUAUAUCAUGAAGAAUGGUUUCAAUAGAUUCAAGAGCAUGAGAUGGAAGCUUUUUUUUUUUUUCAAGAUAUCCGGUUUAACUUGACUUAGAACAUGAUAGUUUCUAAUAUUAUCAUGGAUGGAUAUGGUUUGGAUUUUUAAAAAUCUAAAUUGCAUCCACUUUAGAACCAGUUUUGUGGUUCAUAAAAACAAACUGGAUCCAAAUUAAAAAGGGAAACCGAUUCUAAACCGGUUUGAAAAAAAUAAAAGCCAGUUUCAAAUCGGUUUUAAUAUUCAAAUCCGAUUUUAUAUACAAACCGGUUUUAAAUUCGAUUUUUUUAAUAUCCAAAUUUAAAAUCCUGUUUUGUUUUUUUUGGAAAUCCAGUUUCAAAACCAGAUUUUUUAACCUCAAGACCAGAUUUUUUAUCCAAAAAUCCAAUUUUAAAACCAGUUUUAAAAAAUCUAAUUUCCAAACCAGAUUUUUUAACCAAAAUAUAUUUUUGUCAUUUUGAGACAAAUUUUUGAAUGAAAGUAUAAAACUAGAUGUGAAUACCAAGCAUACCUAGUCACAAACUUUAAGUGAUAAAAAACUAGUGGUAAAAAAUUAAUAAACUUUUAGUAUUUUGUGCACAUGUUAUAAAAAGUUUUACUCAAAAUUGAAGUGAUCUGCGUGCAAAUUAACAAAUAAUAUUACUUCAAAAAUUACAGAACAAAAUGAGGAAACACCCAAAAUUGAAGUGAUCUGUGAUCCAACAAUAACAAGUAGACAAAAUAAGGAAACACCCAAAAUAGAUGACCUGAACUUUUUCCUACGCUUAUAGAACAAAAAGCUGCAGAAGCAUAACUCUGAAGAGGAGUUGAAUUUUAACAGGGUUGAAGUUUAAAAGUUAAAUCAUACUCUACUAUCUACCACAAGUCCACAAUGAUGCAAUAAGCCAACAUUUAGAUAAACAGAUUGGUGUGUUAAUAUUGCAAUUCACAUAAAAAAACAGAUUCAGUGUCAAUAUCCUAACUCACAACUAACUUCAUUAUAUUAUAAUUUGCAAAUACUAGCUCACUUUCUCAUGACAUUAUCUUGAAUAAAUUCAAAAUAAAUUCACCCAACAACAUAUUUAGAACCAACAUUAGCAUGAUGAAUGAACAGGAACAACAGUUAGUCAAACUAAGGGAAUACCAAAAGUAUUUCCAGCACCCUGAUCUUCUGUAUCCUUAAAUGAAAAUGCAAGGGUUUAAAUGAGUGUUCAUAGAUAUGAUAAAAUGGUCCAAAUGAUCAUAAAAGUUUACAAUAUGAUAUCAAUCAAUCUUAACAGCAGAUAAGAGAAACUUCCUUCUCUCGCACCAUUCCUACCUCAAUAUUCAACACACAAACAUGAAAUCACUCAUGUCAAAUUGCCAUCAAUAACAAACCAAACUACCAAAGCAUUCAUCAUGAAACGCAAAAAACUUAACAGCAAGUAAGAUUCUCAAUAGCAGGCCAAUAACACCAUACACAAAUAAUAUGAAUGAAUGGAUUCAUCAAAUAACCAAACGAAUAUUAGUGUUUCCUUUUUCAGAAAGAAAAAUAAUUGAGCUGAAAGAAGAAGGCUUUUUGCCAAUUAGGUAGAAAAUACUAACACCGUUUAAUCUUUAGCAAUUAGCACAACGAAAUGAAUAGAGUAACAGCUGAAUCAGUGACGAGACGCUGAAGAACUGAAUCGAGUAACAGUCUAACAGAGUCGCGCACUAUACCUGAACGCCGGAAGGGAUGGAGCUGGAGGCGAGCAGCGCUGAAAUCGACGGCGACGAGAGGUAGAAGACGACGACAAGGUGAUGGCAGAGCUCGCAGACGCAGAGUGGCGGACAGAGGAACUCGCAGCUUCAAGCUCCGGGAGAGGAAGGGGACGCGCCGUGGGAGAUGAGGAAGGGAACGCAUCGUCGCAGCUUCAAGCUUCCUGCUCCGGUGCCGGAUGCGGCGGAAACAACAAACGCCGGCGACGGAGACGCAGGUUGAAGAAGGAAGAGAGCGAGAUCAAGAAGGAAGAGAGCGAGAACAGAGUCUCAUAUCUGAAAUUAGGGUUUUUUUUUUUUUUUGGAUUUUAAUUUGUAUCUGGAUCCGGAUCCAGAUUUAAAAUUGUUUAAAUGGUUUGGAUUAAAAAACCAAACUAUAACGACAAUUGUUUGUUUUUUCUGUGAUCUCUCAGUCUGCAAUCCAAGCUACCCCAGGACUGAACCUCCAUCAUGAGAGGUGGCUACGUCCGCAGUGGACAUUCACGAUCACAUGAACCUCAUAGAGAGGAGCAUGGGUUUAGGAAUGCGAAGAAGGUGAGAAAAGGUGAAGGUGGACAGAGCUUUUCGGGAGAGGUUUCACUCGUUCCUAGAGAAGAAGAAUGGAUGAUCGAAGGGGAGGAGAGAAGCCAGCAAGGAGGUCAAGCUAAGAAGUUAUUUUGUUAUGCCGUAAAAGGAGGAAAGACACCGGUCAGGGUGGAGGAAGGGGAUGAGCUCUCGCUGUCUGAAGAUGAGGAAGUCGAAAUAGAAGUAAUGGAGGAAGAGAGGAACAUAGACAAACCAACUGAAAAGAAGCAAGGCCCAGAGAUUCGGGUAGAGAAAAACUUGUUUAAAUGCAAAAUAGAAGGGGCUGA
rnacentral:lncRNA from 1 species